AUCCAACGUCUGAUCACCGAAGUUAAGCAUCAUCGAGCGCGGUCAGUACUUGGGAGGGUGACCACCUGGGAACACCGCGUGCCGUU